GGGGAUAUAGCUCAGCUGGGAGAGCGCUGCGUUCGCAAUGCAGAGGUCGUGGGUUCGAUCCCCAUUAUCUCCA
rnacentral:tRNA from 1 species